GCCUUUGUGGUGUAGUGGUCAGCACGCUCGGCGCGUAUUCGAGAGGUCCGUAGUUCAAGUCUCGACGAAGACA
rnacentral:tRNA from 1 species